rnacentral:rRNA from 1 species
AGUGAACGCUGGCGGUAGGCCUAACACAUGCCAGUCGAACGGCAGCACAGUAAGAGCUUGCUCUUACGGGUGGCGAGUGGCGGACGGGUGAGGAAUACAUCGGAAUCUACUUUUUCGUGGGGGAUAACGUAGGGAAACUUACGCUAAUACCGCAUACGACCUACGGGUGAAAGCAGGGGAUCUUCGGACCUUGCGCGAUUGAAUGAGCCGAUGUCGGAUUAGCUAGUUGGCGGGGUAAAGGCCCACCAAGGCGACGAUCCGUAGCUGGUCUGAGAGGAUGAUCAGCCACACUGGAACUGAGACACGGUCCAGACUCCUACGGGAGGCAGCAGUGGGGAAUAUUGGACAAUGGGCGGAAGCCUGAUCCAGCCAUACCGCGUGGGUGAAGAAGGCCUUCGGGUUGUAAAGCCCUUUUGUUGGGAAAGAAAAGCAGCAGGUUAAUACCCCGCUGUUCUGACGGUACCCAAAGAAUAAGCACCGGCUAACUUCGUG